GAUGAACGCUGGCGGCGUGCCUAAUACAUGCAAGUCGAGCGAACGGACGAGAAGCUUGCUUCUCUGAUGUUAGCGGCGGACGGGUGAGUAACACGUGGAUAACCUACCUAUAAGACUGGGAUAACUUCGGGAAACCGUAGCUAAUACCGGAUAAUAUUUUGAACCGCAUGGUUCAAAAGUGAAAGACGGUCUUGCUGUCACUUAUAGAUGGAUCCGCGCUGCAUUAGCUAGUUGGUAAGGUAACGGCUUACCGAGGCAACGAUGCAUAGCCGACCUGAGAGGGUGAUCGGCCACACAGGAACUGAGACACGGUCCAGACUCCUACGGGAGACAGCAGUAGGGAAUCUUCCGCAAUGGGCGAAAGCCUGACGGAGCAACGCCGCGUGAGUGAUGAAGGUCUUCGGAUCGUAAAACUCUGUUAUUAGGGAAGAACAUAUGUGUGAGUAACUGUGCACAUCUUGACGGUACCUAAUCAGAAAGCCACGGCUAACUACGUG
rnacentral:rRNA from 1 species